GUUAAAUUAUAUUGAAUAAUAGAAUAACGCAUUAGCAUUGCUCUGUUAAAAGUUGAUAAGUACUUCAAUAUUUUAAAUUUACACCUGCAAUUUUUGUUUGCUCGUGAUUGAAUUAUUAAUGUUGUAAAAUGUGAAAGUUUAACUCUGUACUCAAUUUGAUUUGUUAAACUAUGUUUCUGCGGCCGUGUAUUAACUCUUAACCCGAUGCAUUAUGCAAUUAUGCAAUUAUGCAAUUUUAUGAAAUAUUAAUAUUUUAUAGUAAAAUAAUUUUUGAAUACUACUUUUAACAGUGGUUAUUGUAUCUUAAUAAUGAUGUUAAUUUUAUAAUCAAAAACCAUGAACCAAACAAAAUGAUAAAACCUUUAUUUUUAUCUUAUCUAUGAAUUAAAUAAAGUUAAUAAAUAUUUUGAAUUUACGUGAAAAAGGGACAUGAACGGAACUAUUGAAAACGGAGAGCAGAUCUAAAAAGUAGGACAAUCUCUCCUCUCCAAUGUAGUACGUCUAGGUCACACUGACGAGAAUAAAUCGGAAAUUCGAAUAUCAUAAGUUAUAAUACUUAUAUAACUUAUAACCGUUUUUCCGUAAACGAGUAUACGUCUUAUUUACUUAAAAGUUAUGUUUUUCCUGAUUUAUUGUACAAUAAAACAUUCAUGAUAAACUUAUAUAAAUUAGUGGACAAGGAAAAUAAUAUUAUUAUUAUCAACAAACGAACAUAAUCCUAUCGACAUUAUUAUUAUUAAUUAAUUCACCGUUUACAUUGACCUGACAACAUAAUGUAUAGCUCUUGAAAUUAGCCAAGUCCGCGCGUUAAUACGUUUUUAAUCGACGAGUGAUUAACUACGAUCUCGUCCGUAUGACGUUUCCGAGAACAUAGCCCAAGUCCGGAGGAGAGUUUUCUAGGAAGACACGCGCGCGACUUGUUAUAAAUAUAGAAAAACGCGUAGACUUUUAACCGACCGAUGUUUACGCGGACGCUUUGUCAGAAAACAAUAUGGUUCCCAUCAGAACCAUAUCAUUUUUAAAUUCACCAAUUUAUGAUGUUUUUUUUUUCAUAAUUUCUAAUAAUUUGUAAUUAUUUAAAACAUGUAAGUAUUGCAAUAUAAAAAUUGUCAUGAUUAAUUUUAGCUCAUUUAAAAAUAUGAAUAUGUGAAUUGUACUUUUUUAUUUUAACCACCAAUCGCAGGAAAUCGAUUUAUUUGACGACAAAAUAUUAUUAUUUAUUUAUUUGACCAAUUUCAUACGACAAAUUGACUGUAUCCUUUUACACGGAGUACCUAACCAUUGUGCAAUAGAUAAUAUUAUAUUGAUCGUCAUGAUGCAAGUGCAAAAUACAAAUUUUGUAAUUUACCAACAACUAUUAUUUAUUUCGGUAAAAUACGAAACACACGAUAAUAAUAAGAUAUUUUCGUCCUUGUUUAAUUAUUAUACAUCUACACAAUAAUAAUAUGAGUUUAUUCGUUAUAAAAUAGGUAUGUUAUGUUGAAAAAUAAAUGAUUGUUGCUCGUUGAACUAGAAAAAACUUACAAUCAACUCACACCAGGCACUUCGUGUAAUUAUGACCGUGCCAUAAAUGCUGUGUGUUCUCUGGAAAAUGCAUCGUUGAGACUGUUGAUUGACAUCAAAUUCCAAUGGAUCUACAUUCAUUACUCAUUAGCGAUAAUGCUAUGUAUUACGCGUUGAUGCUCGUUGAACAUUUAUUAGUGUUGAUUUAUUUCAGUUAUGUGAUACUAAUUUAAUUUUAUUGCAAUUUAUUUCUAUUUUUAGUGUUUUUUUUAAUCCAUUCAAGAAAUAGGGACACUAAUGAACAAUUCCAAAGCAAACUCUCUGAUGUAUGUGCAUAAUCUUUAUGGACCUAUACUUUUCAACCCGUAUAUGUAAUGCCUACCUACCGUGGUAAGCCGAGAAAAAUAAUAACAAAAAAUGAGCCUCGGGAAAUAAUACAAUUUCAUGCCAGGCCUCCCGGCGGACCUAGGGCCACCCCUCGCCACUGAUAAUAAUAUCGUAUAUUUGUUUUUUACAACACUGUCACGUACGCUGUACGACGUCUUUGUCGUGUUUCACAACUCACCAAGUGCCACCGAGGAAAACAAAAAUAAAAAAAAUCAUAAAACGGUGUUGUUGCUGCAGCUGAACGGUUAUUAUUUUCCUCGUUUACACAAUAUACACGUAGACCAAGAUCUAAUAUAUAAUAUACAAUAUGGUUCUUACAUAGUAUAUGGAAGUAUACGCACACACUUCGUCGUCAUAAUAUACAUGGAAAUAUUAUUAUAUUAUAUUAUGUAUUGAUAUUUAAAAGGAAAAAGAAACCAGUUAUGGUUGCCAGCGGACCGGAUCUCAUAUAGGGCCCCCUUUUGAUUUUAAUACUUUGUCAUAACUAUGUAGGUACGUAUUAAUCGUAUUAUACAUGGCAGAUAAUAAUAUAAUAUCAUAUAAUACCCACACACAUACACAAGUAUAAUAUAAUGUGCACGACGAUAGUAUUACACCCAGGGGCGACGGAUAUAGUGGUGGUGUCAGUGCCACUCUGGAGAAAUAUCUUAUAUUAUGUAUAUAUUCUUGCCAACCCUAAUCAACGGGACUCUUGAAGCUGUAUGAUUUUUUUUCAAAGCAAACAUCUGAAGUAAUUGAAUAAAAGACUUUUUCUCUUAUUAUGCAAUAGGUUGUAGAUAUAAAUACAUUUGAUUUAAACUCUUAUUAACCUAUUAUUGUAUGUUGACAAUAUAAUAAAUUUAAUAAUGAACGAGAUUUUUGAAGUGAUUAAAAAUGUACAUUUUAUUGAUAACAAUGAUUAUAUUGUUUAUAAUUUAUAUCUCAAAUAUCAAUAACCAACAACAGAUAAUACACUAUAUUAUAAUAAUAUCAAUGUAUGUAUAAUUGUAAUCGUAUCAUAUUAUUAUACUAUUAUUAUGUUGCACAAUGUUAAACAAUCAUUUUAAUCUUUAAUAAUAAUCUGGUUUCACAUGUUACUAUAUAAAUACGUUUUUCAAACUGCAAUUGUAAAUAUGAUAGCAGUUAUUGUUUGAAAUAUCACUAUACGACCACUGUUUUCAAAAAAUGUAAUUUACAACUCGUAAUAAAUACCUGUAGAUUCAGAAUAUUCGUAAAAAUCAAGAAUAAUUGUGUACCUACAACGGCUUUGACGUACUGGUGUAAAAAAGAAAGUGACCGAUUUCUACGAGUUUAUCUGAAUAGGUUCUUAAAGACCUUAUAUUAUACUUCCGGGAGAAAAUUAAAGCUCUUUUGGCUCAACCUACAUAGUGUAUAACAUAGUCGUCACACGGAAAAGGACGUAAUUCCGUUUCAGUUUUUUUGGAUAUAAUAUUUUAUGGUUAUGAAGUUUUCUCAUGAUGAAAAAGGCAUCAACUCUACUCUACGAAAUUGACCAUCCAACAGUACCAAGUUUCAACGAUAUAUUACGUCGUCCUAAAACUUGAAUUUAGAACAUAAAUAUCGGACAAGGACUUUACAUAUUUCAGACCGUCAAAAUUGUCUUCCGCAACGUUUAUGAUUACUUAUUAAUUAUUACUAUGUUUGUCGUUGAAAACUUUGAUAUUGUAAAAAUACCUAAGUAAUAGCUAAUAAGUAUAAUAUGAGUCUGCGACCCCGAUCGCGAUAAACUGGUCACGAUUUCUGCGGAGAUGGGUUUUUUUUUCUACCCGGUGCAGUUAUACAUGAGGUUUAAGUGGUGUACAACGCAGCCUCGCAGGUUAUAGGUACUUACACGUAUUUAUAAAUUAUUAUUAUAUUUUGUACCGUUUCUUGCCCGCGCGUUCUCCUCCUUGUCUCAACUUGUCGACCGCACGCGCACGCACACCAUACACACACACUUGCGUUAUCAUUGUGCACACGCACGCACGACCGUGUACAAUGGGGUCGGUUGAUCUCGGCGGGUCGUGUCAGCUACCGGUUUUUAUAAGUUUCCUGUCCGGAGAUUUAUGACAAGGGGACCGGCAACGAUAUCAUAUAUAUAUAAUAUUAUAUAUAGACAUAUAUAUAUAUAGGUAGCGUCCGCCGAGACACCACCUAUCGCUCGAGUUGGAGAUUUCAACCGUUCCGAGACGUCAGCGCGGUAGCAGCUCAAAAAAGGAUGUCGGCGGCGCGUUAUUUGUUUUCACUCUCCGUCCCACUGCAACAAUGAUAUGUGCAUUGUGAGCUCUUUUAAAAUUUUACUCAUAACCCCCAUCGUCAUAAUAUAAUAAUUGAAAUAUCGUAAAAAAAAGUCAACGCUGCUAUUGUAUUUUUUUGAUUUUAAAUUUGAUGGCAGUUAUUUCGCUCCAACAUAUUAUUAUAUAGAGAAAAUGAUACAACUAUACACAUUUUGUGAUGAUCUGGAUCCGCUGAACGUCGAUAUUUUAUUCCCAUCAAUGUCUCAAGUUUACUAUUGUUUGUUAAAAGGACGCCAUAUACCCACUGCGUUGUCUCCGUCUUACAAUCGAAUAAGUUUCAUAGCAAAAUAUGAUUCACAAAAUUAUUUAAAUCAAUUGAUUCAAAAAUGUACUAGUACAACUGUACAAGUAGGUAUAUAAAAUUUUAUAAGAUAAAAUAUAAUUCACAAAAUUAUUUAAAUUAAAUUGAUUCAAGAAUACAUAAGUACAACUGUACAAGUAGGCGUAUAACAUUUUAUAACAUAAUUUAUAGAUUUGAACAUUGUAAUAUAAUAUGACUAUAUUAUUAUAGUCGAAUAAAUUUCAUAGCAAAAUAUGAUUCACAAAAUUAUUUAAAUCAAUUGAUUCAAAAAUGUACUAUAGUACAACUGUACAAUCGAAUAAGUUUCAUGGCAAGCAAAAUAUGAUUCACAAAAUUAUUUCAAUUGACUGAUUCAAGAAUGUACAAGUACGACUGUACAAACCAUAUCAUGCACCGCAACAAAAGACGCGACGGGCGAAUUUCUUCGCCAGCUUCCACAACGAGCUACGUUUAAGUUUAACCUGGAUUACCUCUGGUUCUGUUACAGUCGUACUACUACGAGUCGAUGAGUUACGUGCAACUUUCAUCGGAACAGUACACUCGAUUUUGGUGUCAGAAAAUGCCUUAUCCGUGUAAUGCAGUGCUAUGUUCGGCAUUGAUUUCCACAAUCUUUUCUGAAAACCGGCGUGAUCUCGGCUCUUCGGGCCCGAUUCGCCCGAGCCAUCACGGUUUGGUACUACCGCAGAAACCUGUAGCCGAUCGAGGGAGACGGAUGGUAAUUGGAUCUCGACUUCCACGGUCGGAAGUUCGUUCAAUCCGGCGUUGUUUUCCGAUUUUAUCGGCGUUGGGCCAAAUCCAAUGGGUUCAUUGGAAACCGGCUGUACAGUAACGACGGUCGGUUCCUGCAAAAUCGCGGCCGUGUCGAUGCGCCGCUGCUAACGGUCAAACUAGUAUAUAUAAAAUAUAGAUACGUUUAUGAUAUCAUCUGCGUCCUGGGAAUGAAUCGAUCGGAGACAAAUUAUUUCGUUUUUGAAAAUUUAAUCCUAACAAUACGUUAAUCAAAAUAUACCCCACAUUAUUAAGAUCAAUCCAGUUAAUGUUUUAUUGUUUGUAAAUACAAAUUUGAAAUAAAAAACGCAUUUUUAUCAAAA